rnacentral:rRNA from 1 species
UACGGAAGGCAGCAGUGGGGAAUAUUGCACAAUGGGCGAAAGCCUGAUGCAGCUAUGCCGCGUGUAUGAAGAAGGCCUUAGGGUUGUAAAGUACUUUCAUCGGGGAGGAAAAACAAAACUAAUAAUUUUAUUUCUUGACGUUACCCGAAAAAGAAGCACCGGCUAACUCCGUGCCAGCAGCCGCGGUAAUACGGAGGGUGCUAGCGUUAAUCAGAAUUACUGGGCGUAAAGAGCACGUAGGUGGUUUUUUAAGUCAGAUGUGAAAUCCCUGGGCUUAACCUAGGAACUGCAUUUUGAAACUGAAAUACUAGAGUAUCGUAGAGGGAGGUAGAAUUCUAGGUGUAGCGGUGAAAUGCGUAGAUAUCUGGAGGAAUACCUGUGGCGAAAGCGGCCUCCUAAACGAAUACUGACACUGAGGUGCGAAAGCGGUGGGGAGCAAACAGGAUUAGAUACC